rnacentral:tRNA from 1 species
GCGGGCAUAAUUCAAUGGUAGAAUGGCAGCCUUCCAAGCUGCAUACGCGGGUCCGAUUCCCGCUGCCCGCU